ACUUUAUCCCCGGCCACGGCCGCCGCCCGCGCCAGUAAAAGACAGGCAAGCGGUGCCGAGGCCGGCGGGCAAAAUUCCCCUACUCCCGAUGCCAGGGGAGUUACCCAGGGCGCGGAGGGCAGAGGGCAGGUGCGGAGAAGAGGGCAGAGGGGGAGCUCCCGCAGCGGGACCGGGCCUGCGGCCUCGCUGCUCUGUGUCCCAUUUCCCUCUCGGUCAAACAGGCGUGGCUGCUUCCACCGCAGCAAGAAGAACCCGCAGUGGCAAAGGAACCUUCCCCUCGUGUCUGAGGGGGAGACAAAGUUUCCCCAGUUUGAUGGGGGAGAGGAGGAGCCCGAUGGCAACGACAAGGAGCUCUCACCGAAUCUGCGGAGGGAGACAGGACUUUCAGAUGGGGAGGGGGAGAUAAAUCCCGGUUCCCCGGAUGGAGAACAGGCGUCUAAUCUGGAUUUCCAGUCUGGUGCUGGGCGAUUGUCCAUGGCUCCCCAGUGCCUUGGAAGGCAGCUCACACACAGGCCCGACCACCCUGUGUUUCGGCUGAACGUGAAGAGUGUUUGGAGCACGUCACACUCAGAACUCACCUUCAGGCCUUUGCACAGGCCGUUCCCUCUGCCUGGAACACCCUUUCUUGCCUCUUUGCCAGCAUCUCUCCUUCUCUUCCUCCAAGUCUUGGAGUAGAUGUCUCCUCCUCCAGGAGCCCCUCCCCGGUGCCCCAAGUCAGGGUCGCAGUCUCAUGGGAAGGGCUAGGUCCCCAUAGGGCUUGACCCUAGUGCCUUACUCCAGGGCAUGUUUGUUUGCAUGGAUGGAUGGAUGGAUGCCAGGCUAAAGAGUUUGCCAGAGAACAGGCAGAGGAGAGUUUAAUCAGAAGAGGGACAAGGUCAGAUUUAAAAAGCCCCUCUCUUAAGCCCUGGCCUUUGCAUAUGCUGUUCCCUCUUGCUGGCACAUUUGCACCUAUGAAUCCCGCUUAUCUUCUGGGUGGAGCCACCCCCUCCUCCAGGAAGCCCUCCCUGACCCCUCCAGCGGGCUGGGUCAAGCAUCCACCGACUCAGCCUCCUGGGCUCCCCCAUCUCAGCCCUGAUCAAUGCUAGGUUGUCACUGCCUGUGACAGGUCUGUCCCCCCUACUGGGUCCUGGGAGGACAGGACUGGGUUCUGAUCACCCAUUGCCUUCUCUGUCCAGCUUGCAACAGAGAGGUCCUUCUGUCCGGACCUGGGUUUCGAUCCUGACGCCCCCACUCACAGUGUCUCGGGUGAGUUUGGGCCUCUCCCAGAGCCCCAGUUUUCUCGUGAGAAAUGUGAAAAGAAUGGUUGGUUCCUCUCCCAGCCUCGCAGGGCUGUGGUGGGACAUCAAGAAGAUGAGACCCUGGGUCCUGAGGUGACCGCAUGCCGGGUGACUGUGGGUGACCCACUUCCCCUUUUGGGGUCCAUCUGGCUGGAUGAAUGGGUGGCAGGGGCCCCAUCCUGCUGGGACAUUCUAGAAGGCCGGCACGGGGCUUCCCAGGGCGGGAGGGUCAGGGACGGGCAGAGGGAAGAGGUGUCUGCUGGGUUAGGGGAAAACCAGCCUUCCCCAUCAUAAAACGGAUGACAGGAGGGAAACAAACAAGACCGGCUCCACUGGGGCGUGAGGGGAAGUUGGUGGAGAGGAUAAGGGCCCCUCGAGGUGGGUGAAAACCACAGUCC
ensembl:lncRNA